rnacentral:rRNA from 1 species
UACCGGCAGCUCAAGUGGUAGCCGCGAUUAUUGGGCCUAAAACGUUCGUAGCCGGAUAAGUAAGUCUUUGGUUAAAUCCUGCGACUUAACCGUGGGAAAUCUAGAGAUACUGCUUGUCUUGAGACCGGGAGAGGUUGGAGGUACUCCUAGGGUAGGGGUGAAAUCCUGUAAUCCUAGGGGGACCACCUGUGGCGAAGGCGUCCAACUGGAACGGGUCUGACGGUGAGGGACGAAACCUAGGGGAGCGAGCCGGAUUAGAUACCCGGGUAGUCCUAGGCGUAAAUGAUGCGAGUUAAGUGUGGGGGCAUCUACGAGAUGGCCCUGUGCUGUAGGGUAGCCGUUAAACUCGCUGCCUGGGGAGUACGGUCGCAAGGCUGAA